CGGAGGAAAAGAAACUAACAAGGAUUCCCCUAGUAGCGGCGAGCGAAGCGGGAACAGCCCAAGAUGAAAAUCCCUUCGGGGAGUUGUAGUCUGAGUGUCCUUGGGUGGGUCAGUGCGGGCAAGUCGUCUGGAAUGACGCGCCAUGGAGGGUGAGAGCCCCGUCCAUCCCGCACAGGAUCCAUUCGUACAAGGGCGCUUCAACCGAGUCGGGUAGCUUGGGAAUGCUGCUCUAAUUGGUGGUAAAUCUCAUCAAAGGCUAAAUAGUGGUGGGAGACCGAUAGCGAACAAGUACCGUGAGGGAAAGAUGGAAAGAACUUUGAAAAGAGAGUGAAAAGCACUUGAAACCGUCACGGGGGAAGCGGAUUGCGUGAGUGAUGGUGUCGCUUGUUCAGCGCUUUAUUGCGUGCAUUCUGGCGGCGCCGUGCCGGCGUGGCUGGCUGGACUGUGAUUUUGACAGUCUCGGCUGGUGAGGGCUCCCUCGUAUGAGGUGAGGACGCGGGCAAAAUGACGCAAUACGACCCGUCUUGAAACACGGACCAAGGAGUCUAGCACGGCUGCGAGUCGAAGAGUGAUUAAACUCAAGGGCGCAGUGAAAGCGAAAUUAUAAGCAAAUUGGGGAGGCGUUGCGUUUUUAACAAAAUGUCCUACCUCGAGCAUUUGUGCUGGGACCCGAAAGAUGGUGAACUAUGCCGGAGUAGGGCAAAGCCAGAGGAAACUCUGGUGGAGGCUCGUAGCGAUGCUGACGUGCAAAUCGCUCGUCGAACUUGGGUAUAGGGGCGAAAGACUAAUCGAACCAUCUAGUAGCUGGUUCCCUCCGAAGUUUCUCUCAGGAUAGCGGGCCGACACGCGUUUGUUGUUUUGUGCGGUAAAGCGAAUGAUUAGUGCAUUCGGGGUACGAAGUACUUCGGGCGAUUCUCAAACUUUAAAUGCGCAAGGGGGUGGCUGCUUAAUUGAGCCUACUCUUUGAAAAACGUCGGCCCUGUGGGCCACUUUUGGUAAGCAGAACUGGCGAUAAGGGAUGAACCUUAAGCGCGGUUAAGGCGCCUCAUUACCCGCUUAUAGACCCCACAAAAGGUGUUGAUUCAUAUAGACAGCAGGACGGUGGCCAUGGAAGUCGGAAUCCGCUAAGGAGUGUGUAACAACUCACCUGCCGAAUGAAUUAGCCCUGAAAAUGGAUGGCGCUAAAGCGGGUAGCCGACACCGCGCCGUUCCGGCGAGACGAGGCCGGGAUGAGUAGGAGGGCGUGGCGGUCAGUGAAGCAGGCUAGGGUGCAGACCCAGCUGAAACGGCCGCUAGUGCAGAUCUUGGUGGUAGUAGCAAAUAUUCAAGCGAGAUCCUUGAAGGGCGAAGCGGGGAAGGGUUCCACGCAAACAUUGAUUGGGCGUGGGUGAGUCGUUCCUAAGCCGAGUGGCAAUUGCUAAGUAGCGGCGAAAGGGAAGCGGGUUAAAAUUCCCGCACACGGAUAUGGAGGCGGCGACGCAAGCAGAGGCGAAUACGCUGGCCGAGGCGCUGGGCAGAGUUGUCUUUUCUGUUUGACCGGCAUCGCGCUGUGUGGAAUCCGCUUAUCGGGAGAAACACGCGCGGGUAUGGGCAGAGCGUCAAGUUUUUUUUGGCGUCCAGCUCGCCUCGGACGGCCCCUGAAAAUUCGCCCGCGAACUUUAAAAAUUUCAUGCUGUGACGUACCGAUAUCCGCAUCAGGUCCCCAAGGUGAACAGCCUCUGCUCAAUAUGAACAAUGCAGGUAAGGGAAGUCGGCAAAAUAGAUCCGUAACUUUGGGAAAAGGGUUGGCUCUAGUGGGAUGAAGGUCUUCAAAGGGGGCUUCGCUGUGCUUGGCGUCUGACGGGAGUGGCUAGCUUUCGGGCUGGAUGCUUCUGUUGGAUUCCUUGCGUGGGGGAUGUUUCUCGCCUUCAGCAUAUCCCAGACUAGAACUGCAACGGGCAAAGGGAAUCCGACUGUUUAAUUAAAACAAAGCAUUGCGAAGGCCGUGGCCGGUGUUGACGCAAU
rnacentral:rRNA from 1 species